rnacentral:rRNA from 1 species
CCUUAGAGUUUGAUCCUGGCUCAGAUUGAACGCUGGCGGAAUGCUUUACACAUGCAAGUCGAGCGGCAGCGCGGGGGCAACCCUGGCGGCGAGCGGCGAACGGGUGAGUAACACAUCGGAACGUACCCUGUCGUGGGGGAUAACGAAUCGAAAGAUUCGCUAAUACCGCAUACGACCUGAGGGUGAAAGCGGGGGAUCGCAAGACCUCGCGCGAUAGGAGCGGCCGAUGUCGGAUUAGCUAGCUGGUGGGGUAAAGGCCUACCAAGGCGACGAUCCGUAGCUGGUCUGAGAGGACGACCAGCCACACUGGGACUGAGACACGGCCCAGACUCCUACGGGAGGCAGCAGUGGGGAAUUUUGGACAAUGGGGGCAACCCUGAUCCAGCCAUUCCGCGUGAGUGAAGAAGGCCUUCGGGUUGUAAAGCUCUUUCGGCAGGAACG